GAGCGCAGGCGGUUUCUUAAGUCUGAUGUGAAAGCCCCCGGCUCAACCGGGGAGGGUCAUUGGAAACUGGGAGACUUGAGUGCAGAAGAGGAGAGUGGAAUUCCAUGUGUAGCGGUGAAAUGCGUAGAUAUAUGGAGGAACACCAGUGGCGAAGGCGGCUCUCUGGUCUGUAACUGACGCUGAGGCUCGAAAGCGUGGGGAGCAAACAGGAUUAGAAACCCGAGUAGUCCCCGCCGUUCACGAUGAGUGC
rnacentral:rRNA from 1 species